rnacentral:tRNA from 3 species
GGCCUUAUAGCUCAGUGGUAGAGCAUGCGAUUGCAGAUCGCAGGGUCCCGUGUUCGAACCACGGUGGGGCCU